CUACGCACUCCUACGGGAGGCAGCAGUGGGGAAUAUUGCACAAUGGGCGCAAGCCUGAUGCAGCCAUGCCGCGUGUAUGAAGAAGGCCUUCGGGUUGUAAAGUACUUUCAGCAGUGAGGAAGGUGGGUAUGUUAAUAGCAUAUUCAUUUGACGUUAGCUGCAGAAGAAGCACCGGCUAACUCCGUGCCAGCAGCCGCGGUAAUACGGAGGGUGCGAGCGUUAAUCGGAAUUACUGGGCGUAAAGCGCAUGCAGGUGGUUUGUUAAGUCAGAUGUGAAAGCCCGGGGCUCAACCUCGGAAUUGCAUUUGAAACUGGCAAACUAGAGUACUGUAGAGGGGGGUAGAAUUUCAGGUGUAGCGGUGAAAUGCGUAGAGAUCUGAAGGAAUACCGGUGGCGAAGGCGGCCCCCUGGACAGAUACUGACACUCAGAUGCGAAAGCGUGGGGAGCAAACAGGAUUAGAUACCCUGGUAG
rnacentral:rRNA from 1 species